UUAAGCGACUAAGCGUACACGGUGGAUGCCCUGGCAGUCAGAGGCGAUGAAGGACGUGCUAAUCUGCGAUAAGCGUCGGUGAGGUGAUAUGAACCGUUAUAACCGGCGAUUUCCGAAUGGGGAAACCCAGUGUGUUUCGACACACUAUCAUUAACUGAAUCCAUAGGUUAAUGAGGCGAACCGGGGGAACUGAAACAUCUAAGUACCCCCGAGGAAAAGAAAUCAACCGAGAUUCCCCCAGUAGCGGCGAGCGAACGGGGAGGAGCCCAGAGCCUGAAUCAGUGUGUGUGUUAGUGGAAGCGUCUGGAAAGGCGCGCGAUACAGGGUGACAGCCCCGUACACAAAAAUGCACAUAUUGUGAGCUCGAUGAGUAGGGCGGGACACGUGGUAUCCUGUCUGAAUAUGGGGGGGACCAUCCUCCAAGGCUAAAUACUCCUGACUGACCGAUAGUGAACCAGUACCGUGAGGGAAAGGCGAAAAAGAACCCCGGCGAGGGGGAGUGAAAAAGAACCUGAAACCGUGUACGUACAAGCAGUGGGAGCCUCUUAAUGGGGGUGACUGCGUACCUUUUGUAUAAUGGGUCAGCGACUUAUAUUCUGUAGCAAGGUUAACCGAAUAGGGGGAGCCGAAGGGAAACCGAGUCUUAACUGGGCGUUAAGUUGCAGGGUAUAGACCCGAAACCCGGUGAUUCUAGCCAUGGGCAGGUUGAAGGUUGGGUAACACUAACUGGAGGACCGAACCGACUAAUGUUGAAAAAAUUAGCGGAUGACUUGUGGCUGGGGGGUGAAAGGCCAAUCAAACCGGGAGAUAGCUGGUUCUCCCCGAAAGCUAUUUAGGUAGCGCCUCGUGAAUUCAUCUCCGGGGGUAGAGCACUGUUUCGGCAAGGGGGUCAUCCCGACUUACCAACCCGAUGCAAACUGCGAAUACCGGAGAAUGUUAUCACGGGAGACACACGGCGGGUGCUAACGUCCGUCGUGAAGAGGGAAACAACCCAGACCGCCAGCUAAGGUCCCAAAGUCAUGGUUAAGUGGGAAACGAUGUGGGAAGGCCCAGACAGCCAGGAUGUUGGCUUAGAAGCAGCCAUCAUUUAAAGAAAGCGUAAUAGCUCACUGGUCGAGUCGGCCUGCGCGGAAGAUGUAACGGGGCUAAACCAUGCACCGAAGCUGCGGCAGCGACACUAUGUGUUGUUGGGUAGGGGAGCGUUCUGUAAGCCUGUGAAGGUGGCCUGUGAGGGUUGCUGGAGGUAUCAGAAGUGCGAAUGCUGACAUAAGUAACGAUAAAGCGGGUGAAAAGCCCGCUCGCCGGAAGACCAAGGGUUCCUGUCCAACGUUAAUCGGGGCAGGGUGAGUCGACCCCUAAGGCGAGGCCGAAAGGCGUAGUCGAUGGGAAACAGGUUAAUAUUCCUGUACUUGGUGUUACUGCGAAGGGGGGACGGAGAAGGCUAUGUUGGCCGGGCGACGGUUGUCCCGGUUUAAGCGUGUAGGCUGGUUUUCCAGGCAAAUCCGGAAAAUCAAGGCUGAGGCGUGAUGACGAGGCACUACGGUGCUGAAGCGACAAAUGCCCUGCUUCCAGGAAAAGCCUCUAAGCAUCAGGUAACAUCAAAUCGUACCCCAAACCGACACAGGUGGUCAGGUAGAGAAUACCAAGGCGCUUGAGAGAACUCGGGUGAAGGAACUAGGCAAAAUGGUGCCGUAACUUCGGGAGAAGGCACGCUGAUAUGUAGGUGAAGCGACUUGCUCGUGGAGCUGAAAUCAGUCGAAGAUACCAGCUGGCUGCAACUGUUUAUUAAAAACACAGCACUGUGCAAACACGAAAGUGGACGUAUACGGUGUGACGCCUGCCCGGUGCCGGAAGGUUAAUUGAUGGGGUUAGCGGUAACGCGAAGCUCUUGAUCGAAGCCCCGGUAAACGGCGGCCGUAACUAUAACGGUCCUAAGGUAGCGAAAUUCCUUGUCGGGUAAGUUCCGACCUGCACGAAUGGCGUAAUGAUGGCCAGGCUGUCUCCACCCGAGACUCAGUGAAAUUGAACUCGCUGUGAAGAUGCAGUGUACCCGCGGCAAGACGGAAAGACCCCGUGAACCUUUACUAUAGCUUGACACUGAACAUUGAGCCUUGAUGUGUAGGAUAGGUGGGAGGCUUUGAAGUGUGGACGCCAGUCUGCAUGGAGCCGACCUUGAAAUACCACCCUUUAAUGUUUGAUGUUCUAACGUGGGCCCCUUACCGGGGGUUGCGGACAGUGUCUGGUGGGUAGUUUGACUGGGGCGGUCUCCUCCUAAAGAGUAACGGAGGAGCACGAAGGUUGGCUAAUCCCCGGUCGGACAUCAGGAGGUUAGUGCAAUGGCAUAAGCCAGCUUGACUGCGAGCGUGACGGCGCGAGCAGGUGCGAAAGCAGGUCAUAGUGAUCCGGUGGUUCUGAAUGGAAGGGCCAUCGCUCAACGGAUAAAAGGUACUCCGGGGAUAACAGGCUGAUACCGCCCAAGAGUUCAUAUCGACGGCGGUGUUUGGCACCUCGAUGUCGGCUCAUCACAUCCUGGGGCUGAAGUAGGUCCCAAGGGUAUGGCUGUUCGCCAUUUAAAGUGGUACGCGAGCUGGGUUUAGAACGUCGUGAGACAGUUCGGUCCCUAUCUGCCGUGGGCGCUGGAGAACUGAGGGGGGCUGCUCCUAGUACGAGAGGACCGGAGUGGACGCAUCACUGGUGUUCGGGUUGUCAUGCCAAUGGCACUGCCCGGUAGCUAAAUGCGGAAGAGAUAAGUGCUGAAAGCAUCUAAGCACGAAACUUGCCCCGAGAUGAGUUCUCCCUGACUCCUUGAGAGUCCUGAAGGAACGUUGAAGACGACGACGUUGAUAGGCCGGGUGUGUAAGCGCAGCGAUGCGUUGAGCUAACCGGUACUAAUGAACCGUGAGGCUUAACCU
rnacentral:rRNA from 1 species